rnacentral:rRNA from 1 species
GAUGAACGCUAGCGGGAGGCCUAACACAUGCAAGCCGAGCGGUAUUGUUUCUUCGGAAAUGAGAGAGCGGCGUACGGGUGCGUAACACGUGUGCAACCUGCCUUUAUCUGGGGGAUAGCCUUUCGAAAGGAAGAUUAAUACUCCAUAAUAUAUUGAACGGCAUCGUUUAAUAUUGAAAGCUCCGGCGGAUAGAGAUGGGCACGCGCAAGAUUAGCUAGUUGGUGAGGUAACGGCUCACCAAGGCGAUGAUCUUUAGGGGGCCUGAGAGGGUGAUCCCCCACACUGGUACUGAGACACGGACCAGACUCCUACGGGAGGCAGCAGUGAGGAAUAUCGGUCAAUGGGUGCAAGCCUGAACCAGCCAUCCCGUGUGAAGGACGACUGCCCUAUGGGUUGUAAACUUCUUUUGUAUAGGGAUAAACCUACCCUCGAGAGGGUAGCUGAAGGUACUAUACGAAUAAGCACCGGCUAACUCCGUG